GGUGCUAUAGUGUAGUGGUUAUCACUCGGGAUUUUGAGAAAUAUUUCCCGGAACCCAGGUUCGAACCCUGGUAGCACCU